UCGGGAAUAUUGCGCAAUGGAGGAAACUCUGACGCAGUGACGCCGCGUAUAGGAAGAAGGUUUUCGGAUUGUAAACUAUUGUCGUUAGGGAAGAAAAAAGACAGUACCUAAGGAGGAAGCUCCGGCUAACUACGUGCCAGCAGCCGCGGUAAUACGUAGGGAGCAAGCGUUAUCCGGAAUUAUUGGGUGUAAAGGGUGCGUAGACGGGAAUAUAAGUUAGUUGUGAAAUCCCUCGGCUCAACUGAGGAACUGCAACUAAAACUAUAUUUCUUGAGUGCAGGAGAGGAAAGUGGAAUUCCUAGU
rnacentral:rRNA from 1 species